rnacentral:rRNA from 1 species
AGGACGAACGCUGGCGGCGUGCUUAACACAUGCAAGUCGAGCGGAAAGGCCCUUCGGGGUACUCGAGCGGCGAACGGGUGAGUAACACGUGAGUAAUCUGCCCCUAGCUCUGGGAUAGCUCCGGGAAAACCGGGAUUAAUACCAGAUACGACCACUUUAGACAUCUUCUGUGGUGGAAAGAACUUCGGCUAGGGAUGAACUCGCGGCCUAUCAGCUUGUUGGUGAGGUAACGGCUCACCAAGGCGACGACGGGUAGCCGGCCUGAGAGGGCGACCGGCCACACUGGGACUGAGACACGGCCCAGACUCCUACGGGAGGCAGCAGUGGGGAAUAUUGCGCAAUGGGCGAAAGCCUGACGCAGCGACGCCGCGUGGGGGAUGAAGGCCUUCGGGUUGUAAACCCCUUUCAGCAGGGACGAAGCGAAAGUGACGGUACCUGCAGAAGAAGCGCCGGCUAACUACGUGCCAGCAGCCGC